UAGACACAAGUUUAGUCUGCUUGGAAAAAAGUGUAUUAGUGUAGUAUAAUUAUGCUAAUUUGUAGACUACACCACCAGAGGUGUGGGUUUGCGUCCUGCAUUCGUUGUUUGGUUAAUGCUGCUAAGACAUAAGGCCUAGGUUGUGGUCAUUAAUAAAUGCACUUAACCAGUAACAUUACUGGCUGAAAGACGCUCCUUUUGGGAAAAUGGUGCAGAGCGUGGGGGAAAACAAAUUAAAUUCAUCAACAGUUAGCAUUUUGCCUUGGCGAGGAUGUUUAACAUUUCAUAGCUACCUAUAAACAUAUUUGAUAAUGCUGUAUGUUUUUAGGAGACAAGGUUGCCAUAGACAUCUAUACAGUAAAUCCUUGUCAACAAACAGUAGCUUUUGUUGUGCACAAUUAUAGAGAUGCAAAAGUAACUUCUUGUUGUCAUGUUUGGUGCAGCCUGCAGUCGUAAAAUCAAAGUAAUGUUAUGUUCCGCUGGUACAGUAUAGAGUGGUGUAGGGAUGGCGUAUUUUGGGAGGCCAACCAGGAAGUUAGCAUCGCCCUGGUUUCCUCGACAAAAAGCCAAUGGGAUUGUUCCACUGGGUUUUGGAUUACUGCAAAAAAUAAUCUCUGUGGCAAACAAACGUUAAUGAUAUUUAACCGUUUUGUUCACCAAGAUAUCUCCACAAAUGAUCGCCACUUGAAGUUAUGGUUUUUGAAGCGU